GAUGAAGAACGUAGUGAAAUGCGAUAAUUAAUGUGAAUUGCAGAAUUCAGUGAAUCAUCGAGUCUUUGAACGCACAUUGCGCCCCCUGGUAUUCCGGGGGGCAUGCCUGUCCGAGCGUCAUUCCUGCCCUCAAGCACGGCUUGUGUGUUGGGCUUCCGUCCCUGGCAACGGGGACGGGCCCAAAAGGCAGUGGCGGCACCAUGUCUGGUCCUCGAGCGUAUGGGGCUUUGUCACCCGCUCCCGUAGGUCCAGCUGGCAGCUAGCCUCGCAACCAAUCUUUUUAACCAGGUUGACCUCGGAUCAGGUAGGGAUACCCGCUGAACUUAAGCAUAUCAAUAAGCGGAGGA
rnacentral:misc_RNA from 1 species